UACGUAGGGGGCAAGCGUUGUCCGGAUUUACUGGGUGUAAAGGGUGCUCAGGCGGGUUUGUAAGUCAGAGGUGAAACUCCGAAGCUUAACUUCGGAACUGCCUUUGAUACUGCAUCCCUAGAGUUUGAGAGAGGCGAGUGGAAUAUCUGGUGUAGCAGUGAAAUGCGUAGAUAUCAGAUAGAACACCAAUGGCGAAGGCAGCUCGCUGGCUCAGAACUGACGCUAAAGCACGAAAGUGUGGGUAG
rnacentral:rRNA from 1 species